rnacentral:rRNA from 1 species
CGCCUGGGGAGUACGGCCGCAAGGUUAAAACUCAAAUGAAUUGACGGGGGCCCGCACAAGCGGUGGAGCAUGUGGUUUAAUUCGACGCAACGCGAAGAACCUUACCUGGCCUUGACACGCAGAGAACUUUCCAGAGAUGGAUUGGUGCCUUCGGGAACUCUGACACAGGUGCUGCAUGGCCGUCGUCAGCUCGUGUCGUGAGAUGUUGGGUUAAGUCCCGUAACGAGCGCAACCCCUAUCCCUAGUUGCUAGCAGUUCGGCUGAGAACUCUAGGGAGACUGCCGGUGAUAAACCGGAGGAAGGUGGGGAUGACGUCAGGUCAUCAUGGCCCUUACGGCCAGGGCUACACACGUGCUACAAUGGUGCGCACAGAGGGCUGCAAACCCGCGAGGGGGAGCCAAUCUCACAAAACGCAUCGUAGUCCGGAUCGCAGUCUGCAACUCGACUGCGUGAAGUCGGAAUCGCUAGUAAUCGUGAAUCAGAAUGUCACGGUGAAUACGUUCCCGGGCCUUGUACACACCACCCGUCACACCAUGGGAGUGGAUUGCACCAGAAGUGGUUAGUCUAACCUUCGGGAGGACGAUCACCACGGUGUGGUUCAUGACUGGGGUGAAGUCGUAACAAGGUAACCGUA